rnacentral:rRNA from 1 species
ACGAACGCUGGCGGCGUGCUUAACACAUGCAAGUCGAACGCGAAAGGGACUUCGGUCCUGAGUAAAGUGGCGCACGGGUGAGUAACGCGUAGAUAACCUGUCUUCAUGUCUGGAAUAAGUACGCCGAAAGGGGUACUAAUACCGGGAUAUUCUUGCUUUUCAUAAGUUAUGCAAGCAAAAGGUGGCCUCUGCAUAUGCUACUGCAUGAAGAGGGGUCUGCGUACCAUUAGCUAGUAGGUGGGGUAAUGGCCUACCUAGGCGACGAUGGUUAGCGGGUCUGAGAGGAUGAUCCGCCACACUGGCACUGGAACACGGGCCAGACUCCUACGGGAGGCAGCAGUGAGGAAUAUUGCGCAAUGGGGGAAACCCUGACGCAGCGACGCCGCGUGAGUGAAGGAAGGCCUUCGGGUCGUAAAGCUCUGUCAAGAGGAAAGAAGUGUACAAUGGCUAAUACCUGUUGUAUUUGACGGUACCUCUAAAGGAAGCACCGGCUAACUCCGUGCCAGCCGCAGC